rnacentral:rRNA from 1 species
UACGUAGGGGGCGAGCGUUGUCCGGAUUUAUUGGGCGUAAAGAGCGUGUAGGCGACCAGGUAGGUCUGCUGUGAAAACUCGAGGCUCAACCUCGAGACGUCGGCGGAAACCAUCUGGCUAGAGUCCGGAAGAGGAGAGUGGAAUUCCUGGUGUAGCGGUGAAAUGCGCAGAUAUCAGGAAGAACACCCGUGGCGAAGGCGGCUCUCUGGAACGCAACUGACGCUGAGACGCGAAAGCGUGGGGAGCAAACAGG